rnacentral:lncRNA from 1 species
AAGCUAGCUCGAAGCAACUCCCUUCCCGCGAUCCCUGGCCUCACCCUGCGUGAAAGGCUCUGAAAAAAAACAUCGAGAAAAAGAGGGCGUGAGAACUAUAAUUUAUAGUUCCCAGUGGGCAAUUACUGACCUCAGCUCAAUGCACCACUAGGCCCCAAAAGAAAAGGGUAAGUACAGUAAUAAUAGCAAUAAUAACUGCGAUAUGAAAGCA